AAAUUACAAUAAAUGGUUCUUCCAAUUGUAAAGGUCUACCCUAGUUGACAGGCAGUUUGGGCUAUAAUAGUAAUUUUUUUUCUGUUUUAGAAGAGGUAUCCAUGACAACCAAGGAGCUGGCUCCAGCUCUCAUUUGCUCUAAGGAGUUGAUGCCAUGAGUUUGGCAUUCAAUUCUCAAUGCUGUACUUAGAAGGACACAAAUUCACUGACAUCUGUCUAAUAGGAAUGGUAGAUGAUUUUGAAAGCGAAAUCUGUGAGGAACAAUUUAAAUUCUUAGAAGAAAAGGAGUUGUGGGAGCCAUCUAGCUGAUUUGAAAUAUUUAAAGACCUGUCAUAUGGAAGAGGAAUGUGAUUAAUCUUGAGUGUCCUCAAAGACAGAACUAGUAUUAAUGGAUAGAUGUGAGGUGAAGGCAAAUUAGUUUAACAGAAAGAAAUUGUGGACAGCCACACUUGUGCAAAAGUGAUUCAUAACUUAGGACACUUUUCCUCAUUGGAGGUAUUCAGGCUGGAGAAUACUCUGUACCAAGGCCACUGCCCCAGAUUGAAUUUGUCCUACUGUAGUGGAAUUGAGAAUGAAUAACAGGGAAUGGUUCCUAGAGCGUGAAGGACCAUUUGCUGCUCUGAGAAGUAUUAUUUCUUGUUAUAAACUGUUGUGUUAAGGAGCACACAGUGCCUAUAUUAAUUUUUAAGGGCUGCUGUAACAAAGUAUCACAAACAGGGUGGCUUCAAAUGACAGAAACUUAUUGUUUCACAGUUCUAGAGGUUGGAUGUCCAAAGUCAAGUUGUUGGUGGGGCCAUGCUCCCGAAACCUGUACAGAAGAAUUCUUCCUUGCCUGUUCCUAGCUUCUGAAAAUUGCCAUCAACCUUUGUCAUUCCUUGGCUUUCAACUGUAUCACUCCAAUCUCUACCUCUGUUGUUACAUGCCUUUCCUCUUGUCAUAAGGACACUAGUCAUGUUUGAUUAGGGUCUCCCCUAAUGAUUUCAUCUUGACUACAUCUACAAAGACCCUAUGUCCAAAUAAGAUCACCUUCACAGGUACCAGUGUUAAGACUUCAACAUAUCUUUUUGGAGGACACAAUUCAACCUAUAAGUGUUCCAAGGAGAGUGACAAUUCUGCACUUUGAUUCUCCACCUGGCUCUGUCUCUGCCAUACUUAAUUAUCUAAGGAAGACAACUCACCUCUUGGAACUUCAGUUGCUGUUUCUGUAAGAUGAGAGCAAUGCCUUUCUUUGGCUUUGGAUCUAUGUGAACAUACAAAGCAUUAACAAAUGGACAUGAACUCUGAAAAACUCUCAUAUGUGGAUGCCUUCAAUGCAGUUCACUCUGUAUAUGUACAUCUCCAAAUUAUAACUCUUUUUUCUUUUGAGCAAAUUAAAGCAAGAAGUGCUUUAUUUCUAACACAUAGGAAAGUCUCGGUCACCACAGGCCAAAAGGCGGGAUUGACAGUAAGAACAUGAAAAACAACACAGAUGUAUUUCAUUUUGGAGGAGUCUGGGAAAAUGAACUAACUUAGUCAACAUGAUCUACUCAGUCCAUAUGAGGAAAAGAAAACACACACACACACAAACACACACACAAAAUUACAAUUUACUCUAAAAUUUCUGAUCAAUUUGUCGCUGUGCAGUCACUUUGUUCCCACAAUAUCUUAUUCAAAGACUUUCUGGUGACCUAAAUCUGUCAUUUUCUCCUAAGAGUACCUGUUUUCUAUCUUGUCUUUGGGCUCCAGCUACUCUUUACGUUCACUGUUGAUUACCAUCAGUGAUAAUUUGGGGUGACAAGCAACAUGUUUCCAAACAAAGGGGAUGAAUGGCUCGGCAUUUGAGAAAGACUAAAAAAAAAAUAGGUCUGAAACGAUGCAAACUGGGAUAAUGUAUUCUCAAAGGCUUAAAGUAAUGGAUACGAAUCAAGAGUGGCAACAGAAAUCUUGAAAAUGAACAAAGAAGAACUCAUAUUUUCUGAUUUUGAAGUGUAUUUCAAAGCUAAAGCAAUCAAGACAGUGUGGAACUGGCAUAAAGACAGACAUAGAGAUCAAUGAAAUUGAAUUGAGAGGCCAGAAAUAGACUCUUACAUUAAUAGCCAAUUGAUUUCCAACAAAGCUGCUAAGAUAAUAUGAAGAGAGAAAUAAUGGUCUUUUUAACAAAUGGUGCUGGGACAGUGGAAUAGUCACAUGCAAAAGAGUGAAAUUGGACAUCUGGUUCAUGUCAUAUACAAAAAUUAAGUAAAAAUGGAUCACAGACCUAAAUGUUAAAAAGCUAACUCUAUAAAACUGUUAGAAGAAAGCAUGGGAUGAAACCUCUGUGACUUUGGGUUAGGAAAUGGUUUUAUUUAUUUAUUUAUUUAUUCAUUUAUAAUAAUUAUUAAUAUUUUUAAGUGACAAAUCAUAAUUUAUACAUUUACAGGGUAGAAUGUGAUGUUUUGAUAUAGGUACCCAAUGUGGCAUGAUUAAAUCCUAUCUAUCACCUCAACUACCUGUCAUUUUUUAUGGUCAAACAUUUGAAAUUUAGUUUCUCAAUUAUUUUGAAAUAUAUAACACAUUAUUAUUGAUAAUAGCCACACUGAUGUGCACUAGACAUUAAAAUCUAUUGCACUUGUCUAUCCAAAACCUUGUACCCUUUGAUCAAGAACUCCCCAUUCCCUCUCUCUCCACCAGCCCAUCCCCAAGCCUCUGGUAAUCAUUGUUCU
rnacentral:lncRNA from 1 species